GACGAACGCUGGCGGCGUGCUUAACACAUGCAAGUCGAACGGAAAGGCCCCCACCUUGGUGGGGGUGCUCGAGUGGCGAACGGGUGAGUAACACGUGGGUGAUCUGCCCUGUACUUCGGGAUAAGCUUGGGAAACUGGGUCUAAUACCGGAUAGGACCAUGGUUUAGUGUCUCAUGGUGGAAAAAUUAUUGUUUUGGUGCAGGAUGAGCUCGCGGCCUAUCAGCUUGUUGGUGGGGUAAUGGCCUACCAGGGCGUCGACGGGUAGCCGGCCUGAGAGGGUGGACGGCCACAUUGGGACUGAGAUACGGCCCAGACUCCUACGGGAGGCAGCAGUGGGGAAUAUUGCACAAUGGGCGCAAGCCUGAUGCAGCGACGCCGCGUGGGGGAUGACGGCCUUCGGGUUGUAAACUCCUUUCGUUAGGGACGAAGCCACACCUUUUUUGGGUGUGGUGACGGUACCUUUGUUAAGAAGCACCGGCUAACUACGUG
rnacentral:rRNA from 1 species